CAAUUAUGGAUGAGUUAAUUCACUGAUGAGUUCAUAGCCCUCAUGAUCCAAUCAUUUCCUAAAGUCUCUACCUCUGAACAUUUCUGCAUUGGGAACGGAAGCCUUCAACAUUUUCCCAGGUUCCACUGACUUUUUCACUUCUUUACUUGAUCUGGCUGUCUGCUGAACAAAAGAAUCACUUAAUUCUGCAAGCUCCAUUCAUGGAAAUGAAGUAUCUGAAGACCAGCAUUCCAUUUCUACCAGCUGGGUCCAGACCUUUGGGCUCACAUUUCCUGCUGAUCUUGAAGAACCUGUAGUCGUUCUUGGAAGUUG